GACGAACGCUGGCGGCGUGCUUAACACAUGCAAGUCGAACGAUGAAGCUGGAGCUUGCUCCGGUGGAUUAGUGGCGAACGGGUGAGUAACACGUGAGCAAUCUGCCCUUGACUCUGGGAUAACUGCGGGAAACUGUAGCUAAUACCGGAUACGAGAUUUGGAGGCAUCUCCGGAUCUGGAAAGAAUUUCGGUCAAGGAUGAGCUCGCGGCCUAUCAGCUUGUUGGUGAGGUAAUGGCUCACCAAGGCGACGACGGGUAGCCGGCCUGAGAGGGUAACCGGCCACACUGGGACUGAGACACGGCCCAGACUCCUACGGGAGGCAGCAGUGGGGAAUAUUGCACAAUGGGCGAAAGCCUGAUGCAGCAACGCCGCGUGAGGGAUGAAGGCCUUCGGGUUGUAAACCUCUUUUAGUAGGGAAGAAGCGAAAGUGACGGUACCUACAGAAAAAGCACCGGCUAACUACGUGCCAGCAGCCGCCGUAA
rnacentral:rRNA from 1 species